GAUGAACGCUGGCGGCGUGCCUAAUACAUGCAAGUCGAGUGAACAGACGAGGAGCUUGCUCCUCUGACGUUAGCGGCGGACGGGUGAGUAACACGUGGAUAACCUACCUAUAAGACUGGGAUAACUUCGGGAAACCGGAGCUAAUACCGGAUAAUAUAUUGAACCGCAUGGUUCAAUAGUGAAAGACGGUUUUGCUGUCACUUAUAGAUGGAUCCGCGCCGCAUUAGCUAGUUGGUAAGGUAACGGCUUACCAAGGCAACGAUGCGUAGCCGACCUGAGAGGGUGAUCGGCCACACUGGAACUGAGACACGGUCCAGACUCCUACGGGAGGCAGCAGUAGGGAAUCUUCCGCAAUGGGCGAAAGCUUGACGGAACAACGCCGCGUGAGUGAUGAAGGUCUUCGGAUCGUAAAACUCUGUUAUUAGGGAAGAACAAAUGUGUAAGUAACUAUGCACGUCUUGACGGUACCUAAUCAGAAAGCCACGGCUAACUACGUG
rnacentral:rRNA from 1 species